UCUCCGUUGGUGAACCAGCGGAGGGAUCAUUACUGGAAUCGCAAGAUCCCACAACCCUGUGAACCUACCGAAACGUUGCCUCGGCGGGUGCCCGGCCUCUGCGCCGGGCGCUGCGCCCGCCGGCGGCCCCCUACUCUGUCUCUGCAGCGUGGCAUCUCAGAGUCCCAGAAAACAAGUCAAAACUUUCAACAACGGAUCUCUUGGCUCAC
rnacentral:misc_RNA from 1 species